CAGUAGCCACGGUAAUACGUAGGGUGCGAGCGUUAAUCGGAAUUACUGGGCGUAAAGCGUGCGCAGGCGGUUAUGUAAGACAGUUGUGAAAUCCCCGGGCUCAACCUGGGAACUGCAUCUGUGACUGCAUAGCUAGAGUACGGUAGGGGGGGAUGGAAUUCCGCGUGUAGCAGUGAAAUGCGUAGAUAUGCGGAGGAACACCGAUGGCGAAGGCAAUCCCCUGGACCUGUACUGACGCUCAUGCACGACAGCGUGGGGAGCAAACAGGAUUAGAUACCCCCGUAGUCCCUGUCUCUUAUAC
rnacentral:rRNA from 1 species